rnacentral:rRNA from 1 species
UACGUAGGGAGCAAGCGUUGUCCGGAAUCAUUGGGCGUAAAGCGCGCGUAGGUGGCCUCAUAAGUCCGCUGUGAAAGUCAAAGGCUCAACCUUUGAAAGCCGGUGGAUACUGUGAGGCUAGAGUACGGAAGAGGCGAGUGGAAUUCCUGGUGUAGCGGUGGAAUGCGCAGAUAUCAGGAGGAACACCAAUAGCGAAGGCAGCUCGCUGGACGUUACUGACACUGAGGCGACGAAAGCGUGGGGAGCGAACAGG